rnacentral:rRNA from 1 species
GACAGAGGGUGCAAACGUUGUUCGGAAUUACUGGGCGUAAAGCGUGUGUAGGCGGUCUGCUAAGUCGGGUGUGAAAGCCCUGGGCUCAACCCCAGGAAGUGCACUCGAAACUGGCAGGCUAGAGUACUGGAGAGGUUGGUGGAAUUCUCGGUGUAGAGGUGAAAUUCGUAGAUAUCGAGAAGAACACCGGUGGCGAAGGCGGCCAUCUGGACGGUGACUGACGCUGAGACGCGAAAGCGUGGGGAGCAAACAGG